GUUUUUUGACUGCGCCGCAUUUGACUGCGCUCCGGUUGUUGUCGACCUUCUCCCCGAGGCUGGAACACAACUGCUGCCCGCACGUGGGGCCAGGCAUCCCGGCCGUGACAUCAUCAAGCAAGUCUAAACCUGGCUGCUUUGUGAUGGAGGGUCAUCAUCUCCUGACGUCUGGCUCUGGACCCCAAAUCAAAAACAAAACAUCACAAAUCCCGACAGCUGUCAUCUUCAUCCCACCAAUUAACAACACAACGACUGCCCUACCUCACCACAACCUGACCUGUGCCUCUCCACAGAGCACACCUGCACCACAACUCCAGAUACAAAGAGGAAACGACUGGCGUGGCGGGGCUCGUAUAGUUUGCUGAAUGUGCUGUAUGUUUGAGGCCACAGGACGCAGGACGUUGGAUUUGUGGUCAGAAAUACGGGAAGUUCAGGGAGGAGGCGAAAGAAGGGCAACAGGUGGUGCUCAAAAUCAGACUCAUUCAGCAGUUAUAUAUCGAAAUGAGUUCAAUGGAAAAGAGAUAGUAGAUCACGUGCUGGAUAUAAAGAUCGAUUUAAAGGAACAAUGUGUAGCAUUUAGGGGCAUCUAUUGGCAGAAAUGGAAUAUAAUAUUAAUAAGUAUGUUUUCAUUAGUGUAUAAUCAACUGAAAAUAAGAAUAGUUGUGUUUUCAUU